GACGAACGCUGGCGGCGUGCCUAAUACAUGCAAGUCGAACGCUUCUUUCCUCCCGAGUGCUUGCACUCAAUUGGAAAGAGGAGUGGCGGACGGGUGAGUAACACGUGGGUAACCUACCCAUCAGAGGGGGAUAACACUUGGAAACAGGUGCUAAUACCGCAUAACAGUUUAUGCCGCAUGGCAUAAGAGUGAAAGGCGCUUUCGGGUGUCGCUGAUGGAUGAACCCGCGGUGCAUUAGCUAGUUGGUGAGGUAACGGCUCACCAAGGCCACGAUGCAUAGCCGACCUGAGAGGGUGAUCGGCCACACUGGGACUGAGACACGGCCCAGACUCCUACGGGAGGCAGCAGUAGGGAAUCUUCGGCAAUGGACGAAAGUCUGACCGAGCAACGCCGCGUGAGUGAAGAAGGUUUUCGGAUCGUAAAACUCUGUUGUUAGAGAAGAACAAGGACGUUAGUAACUGAACGUCCCCUGACGGUAUCUAACCAGAAAGCCACGGCUAACUACGUGCCAGCAGCCGCGGUAAUACGUAGGUGGCAAGCGUUGUCCGGAUUUAUUGGGCGUAAAGCGAGCGCAGGCGGUUUCUUAAGUCUGAUGUGAAAGCCCCCGGCUCAACCGGGGAGGGUCAUUGGAAACUGGGAGACUUGAGUGCAGAAGAGGAGAGUGGAAUUCCAUGUGUAGCGGUGAAAUGCGUAGAUAUAUGGAGGAACACCAGUGGCGAAGGCGGCUCUCUGGUCUGUAACUGACGCUGAGGCUCGAAAGCGUGGGGAGCAAACAGG
rnacentral:rRNA from 1 species